GUCUAUGGCCACACCACCCUGAAUGCGCCUGAUCUCAUCUGGUCUCAGAAGCUAAGCAGGGUGGGCCUGGUUAGUACUUGACUGGGAGAAAAGAGUUGAUGUCAUCAUAGAGU
rnacentral:rRNA from 1 species